UCCCUUUCUUAUAAAUAAAAACUGCACAUUUCCAGAAAUAUAUUUAAGAGCUACACAUUUCCAGAAAUAUAUCCAUAUGUUCAUCAUUACUCAUUAAUACAUUUAUAUCGAUUCAUGAUUAAUCAACUCAACUAGACAUUUAUUCAAUAUUCAAUACUGCCCAAGUUUUAAAUCGCUUUUUAUUUGACAUGUUCAAAAGUACAAUUUCUCAUGUAGUUGUUUUAGUAGGCAUUUCUACCCUCUCUACUUCAGUUGAUGUUUCUACCCUUUGUACUUCCGUUGGCAUGUUUGCCAUUGAUAUUUGGGUAGGUAGUGUUGAUUCUUGUCUUUGGGUGACAGGUUGAGCUUCAUCUCGAUUCUUCUUCGAAUUUUUAAUCGAUAUUGGAGACAAACUAGACUUGCCACAUUUAACCCCGCGUCCAGAAUUGUUUGUCAUUUUAGUUGUUCCUAAAAAAAUCAAUCGUUAUAGAAAUCAAGCUCCUAACCAACAGAACAGAUAACCCUACAACUAGCAAGACAAACCAAAAAUGAGAAGAAUUCACCGUCGGAAAAUUUAGGGUUCUUGACAAACCUAAUUUAUAUUUCCUAAUCGACCAGGCGAAGGAGACGAUAUUGAGAGGGCAACGUCAUUGUCGAGCGAUCAAUGGUGAUUUCCUGCCGAAUGAUUGAUGUCCGCAGAAGUUGCUCGAGGAUCGAUGAUCAGUUGCUCAUGGAUUGAUGGUUGCCGAAGUCACGAAGAUGAGGAGGUUUUUGAAGGAGAAAAGAGUUAAUAUUGGUUUAGAAUGAUUCAUGUUUAUACUCCAAAUCAAAUCAGACGAGAAGUUUUGGCACAUAAUAACAAAUAAUGUAAAUUAGGGUUCAAUACAAACAUGAUUUUUUAUUUUCUAGUUGACCACAUGGAGAUGGAGACGAUGUUAUGAGCG
rnacentral:lncRNA from 1 species